rnacentral:rRNA from 1 species
UACGAAGGGGGCUAGCGUUGCUCGGAUUGACUGGGCGUAAAGGGUGCGUAGGCGGGUCUUUUAAGUCAGGGGUGAAAUCCUGGAGCUCAACUCCAGAACUGCCUUUGAUACUGAAGAUCUUGAGUUCGGGAGAGGUGAGUGGAACUGCGAGUGUAGAGGUGAAAUUCGUAGAUAUUCGCAAGAACACCAGUGGCGAAGGCGGCUCACUGGCCCGAUACUGACGCUGAGGCACGAAAGCGUGGGGAGCAAACAGG